GAUCCUGGCUCAGGAUGAACGCUGGCGGCGUGCCUAAUACAUGCAAGUAGAACGCUGAAGCUUGGUGCUUGCACCGAGCGGAUGAGUUGCGAACGGGUGAGUAACGCGUAGGUAACCUGCCUCUUAGCGGGGGAUAACUAUUGGAAACGAUAGCUAAUACCGCACAAAAGUCGAUAUCGCAUGAUAUUGAUUUGAAAGGUGCAAUUGCAUCACUAAGAGAUGG
rnacentral:rRNA from 1 species